AGGAUGAACGCUGGCGGCGUGCCUAACACAUGCAAGUCGAACGUCCUGUCUCGCAAGAGGCAGGGAGUGGCGGACGGGUGAGUACCACGUGGGUCAUCUACCGUGAGGUGAGGAAUACCGGCGAGAAAUCGCCGACAAGACCGCAUAGCCUCGGUGCAAGUCGAGGAAAGCUCUCUCGAGAGAGGGAGCGUCACACGAGGAGCCUGCGCCCGAUUAGCUAGCUGGUGGAGUAAUGGUUCACCAGGGCGACGAUCGGUAGCUGGUCUGAGAGGACGAUCAGCCACACUGGGAUUGAGAACGGCCCAGACUCCUACGGGGGCAGCAGUGAGGAAUUUUCGUCAAUGGGGGCAACCCUGAACGAGCAACGCCGCGUGCAGGAAGAAGGUUUUCGGAUCGUAAACUGCUUUUCGUCGGGAAGAGGAACGGACGGUACCCGAGGAAUCGAGCCCCGGACUAACUACGUGCCAGCAGCCGC
rnacentral:rRNA from 1 species